rnacentral:sRNA from 1 species
GCAUCUCCUCCUCCCUCUCCCCGGGCUCCUACUGGCCUGAGGUUGAGGGCGGCUGGGGGCUCGGGGCAGGCUCCGCGGCGUUCCCCUCCCCACCCCGGCCCUCCGUUCAGCCGCGCUUCUCCGGGGCUGCGGUUCCUACUGCGCGAGCUGCCAGUGGAUUCGCUCUUUCCCUCCGUCCGUGGCCCGCCUGGGCGGCCUUGUUCUUUCCGCAGCAGCCAGAUAACCUUCUGUUCGGUGAUGAAAUUAUCACUAAUGGUUUUCAUUCCUGUGAAAGUGAUGAGGAGGAUAGAGCCUCACAUGCAAGCUCUAGUGACUGGACUCCAAGGCCACGGAUAGGUCCAUAUACUUUUGUUCAGCAACAUCUUAUGAUUGGCACAGAUCCUCGAACAAUUCUUAAAGAUUUAUUGCCGGAAACAAUACCUCCACCUGAGUUGGAUGAUAUGACACUGUGGCAGAUUGUUAUUAAUAUCCUUUCAGAACCACCAAAAAGGAAAAAAAGAAAAGAUAUUAAUACAAUUGAAGAUGCUGUGAAAUUACUGCAAGAGUGCAAAAAAAUUAUAGUUCUAACUGGAGCUGGGGUGUCUGUUUCAUGUGGAAUACCUGACUUCAGGUCAAGGGAUGGUAUUUAUGCUCGCCUUGCUGUAGACUUCCCAGAUCUUCCAGAUCCUCAAGC